ensembl:lncRNA
CAGGAUCAUGAGGGAGUGGGCCAAGAAGGGGCUGUGGAAAAGCUGGUGAUGCUCUUUACUUCUGACUUGAAAAUCCUCGCUGCUCUGGAUGAGGAGGAGCCACGUGGCAGAGGGGUCUUUCAGCGUACAUUUUUUUCAAGUCUCACCCAGUUGUGGGGCGAAGGUGGAAAAUGAAUUGAUUUACUAUGUUCAUGAUGAUAGUGAGGAGCUUCUUGACAAUUUCACCAUCUUUGCAAAUAGCUCAGAUCUUGGAAAACAGAGUUUGCCCCAAACUCUUUUUGUGGUUGUUGAAUCAGUGAACGAUGAGGCUCCAGUAAUAACAGUCAGUAAAAUCCUUCAGAAAAUGUAUGCCAACCCCUUCUGUAGACCAGCUCUAUGCAAUAGGACUUCCUGUGAUGAUGAAAAUGUUUUGUAUAUGUGCUGUUCAACACAGUAGCCACUACUCACAUGUGGCUAUGAAGUAUUUGAAAUGUGGCCAGUAUGAUUAAGGAAGAAUAGCCCUGAGCUAACAUCUGUGCCCAUCUUCCUCUGCUUUACAUGUGGGACGCCUACCACAGCAUGGCUUGUCAAUCCGUGCCAUGUCCACACCUGGGAUCCGAACCAGUGAACCCCAGGCCGCUGAAGUGGAACCUGCACACUUAACCGCUGCGCCACUGGUCCGGCCCAAGGAGAGAUCAUUUCCAUCUUGACAAACUGGAGUUAGGAAUUGGAGUUAGACCACUUCCAGUGAAUCCUUUGCAUUUUACUUUGAAAUAUGUUCUACUGAGUACUUUUGUGUUCGGGCAGACCAGUGAUUUUUGCGCAUACCUGAUAAAAUAUAUGUGUGUCCACAAGGGGGCUUCAUUUUCUUACUUUUCAACUUUUGCUUUCAAUAAUACUGUACGUUUUGUUUUGAUGGUGUUUUUUAUACCAAAAAUAGAAACACUUGCUUGUUUCUGAUAAACACUUGUCAUCAGUAAAAAGAGAGCUAGGGACAGUAGAAGAAUUAGGGGAGCACAGUCUGAAAUGAUGACUGACGGAGCAGAAGUUCGAAUAAUGGGGUAGUGAAUUCAUGAAUAUUUCACAUCCCUCCUAUGGAACUCAAAACGACGGUCUGGGUUUUUAGAUGGAUAAUAAUUAGGAUUAUACUGGACUAUAAUUAGGUUUAUAAAUCCCAUUAACCUGCUGUUUAAGUUAAAGGUGAAUUAAAAAUAUAUUAUCCCAAUUAAUGUGUUAAUUUUUUCAGAUAUUUAUUCCUUAAACCAUUAUUUCUUUGGUUUUGGAUUACUUUUAAUUCUGAAUUCAAGUUUGGGGGCCGUUGUUUUUCUUCUCCCCAUCUAUCUGAAGUUUCUAUUACCGAUGACUGGGAACCGGAUGAGGCCUCACCCAAACUAACGGGGCUGUUAAAUGAACUAAAUUUGGUUUGAGUGGCAAUGAAGACCUGAGCUUACCAGCUCUUGUUUUGAGUGGCGGGUUUUCCAUCUGUUUUGGAAGAUGGUAUUUUCCAGAGGCAAGAGGGGGCAAAAGCAGUGUUUCACAGAAGAGUAACUACAAUGGAAAACAUGUUUCAUCCAGC